rnacentral:lncRNA from 1 species
UUUUUUUUCCUUCAAUCAAUAGUGGUGUUACGACGCGAAACAAACACCAUAAAAUUUUAGAUUUUCAUAAGAUUUAAUUUUAUUUGAGUAUGGAUAGGAGAAGGCAAUGAAAGUUUUGAUUUAGUUAAGGUUUUGGCAUGAUUUAAAUUGAUUUGGGUAUGAGUAGUGAAAGGCAAGAAAAAAAUGGUUUAGUUGAGAUAUUGUUAAGAUUUGAUUUGAUUAAGUUAAUGCAUGACAUGGUUAACAACAGAAAACCAGGGAAGGAAGGAGGCAUGAGUAAAAAAACAACUUUGUUUUAGAGAAACCAACUCUUGACUUAUGUUCUGGCAUGCACAUGAUCAAUCUAGAGAGCAGGGGAAGGACGACCCAAAUACAACACGGACGCACACCUAGCCGUCGCCUCCAAGAACCCUAACUUUCUGCCUCCCACCGGCGCCGGUGCCGGUCCAUCCCGUCUCCGAUGGCCGUAUGGCUACGGAGGCGGAGUGGAUCUCGGCUCUUACCGGUGGGAGGGCUCAGUUUUUAGAUCUUUUUUUGAGCUUUGUUAGGGUUUGUGUCCUGCUCAGGAAGGCGAGACGGUGGCGGCUUCCUGAAGAUGGAAUAAAGGUCUCUCCGCCUAGCCCCCGUUCCGGUGAUGCGUCUUGCAUCAUCGGUGGGCGUGUAGAGUUGUGUCUCCGAUGGAUCUGUCUUUGGUGGAUUUGCUCGGAUCUGUUCGUCGUUCGUCUUCGUUCGUGUGUUUUCAGGUUGGAUCCUUUUGAUCUACACUCUUCAUUCGCGGCGGUUGCUAUUCUGGUGUGUUGGUUCUACGGGGCCUUAGCACGACGACUUCCCGACUGUUUACUACAACAAGGUUUGCCCGGCUCCGGCGAGGGAGGGGCGAUGACAGCGGCGCGCCUUCGGCUCGCUUCAGUGCUUGUAGUCAUUGCUAGGUGGUCUACGGAUCUGGAUGUAAUUUUUAUUAUUUCUAGUUUUCGUUGUACUACCAUGAUUGAAGAUGAAUAGAUUGGAAGUUUUUCCCGCAAAAAAAAGGAGAAACCAACUCUUUUUUUUAACACACUACAAACACAAGCACUCAUAUAUAUGCGCAUAAGGAGGGUUUCGAGAGCCAUCGUCAUCCAUCGAUCCUCGACAAGGAACCCAUCCCCCGUGCUGCUCCCGCGAGCGGCCCGGGUGGAACCCCGAUCCCCGCCGCCGCCACCCCUCACCUCCCCUUCCCUCCUUCGCUGCCGCCAGCGGACGCCGCCGGCAAAGCCCGUGCGCACGUCGGCGGCGGCGGGGUCCCCCCUUCCCUCGAGGCUCUCCAGCGGCGCGGGACGCCCUUCCUCUUGGGGUUAGGCAAAUCGGCGGCGGGGCGCGUCUGGCCUGUGUCGGCGUGGUCCGACGGUGCUGGUUGGAGCGGGGCGCUGCUCCGGGAUGGCGCGGCCUGGCAUGGUCCAGCCGGAUCUGGCGGCCACGGACGGCGGCGCUCGGAAGUUGGAGCUCGGCGCUGCUCAAGGGAUGCGGCGGGCGGCGGCGGGCAGUGGUCGGUCCUCCGGGAGCUGGCGUAGCAGGGACUGGUGGUGCCGUGGUGGCUCGCCCCCAGCGGUGGUUGGCUAGGGGCGGGUCGAUGGCGCAGGCUGGCGGCGCCCGGAGCGCGGGUCCGGGGAUCUCGGCCCGGAUCUGGUGUGCGUCGGCGCUGGCAGGCGUCCUUGGGGUGCUCACGACAGGGAGUACGAUGGUUGUCCCGAAAGCCUUACGUGGGGCGUAGCAGGAUGGAGGGUGCUGGUGGUACACCGACACCGACGGUGGCGGCGGUGCGAACGCAGCCAUGGCGGCGGCGGCGCUGCGAGGCCUAGCUAGGAAGGGUCUUGGCGGGCAGCGGGUGUUCGGCUGCUGCCGUGUGAGGCGUGCGGCGAUGCCUCAGCGGUGUGGGUGCCGGAGUGUGGUCGGAGGUGCGGGUCGGUUCCAUUCUUGUGGCAGUCCCCUGGCGCGGGUGAAGGCCACCAUGGCGGAACUGGUUGUGCGCCGCUCAUUGGUUGAUGCGGUUCCUAGUCGAGGUUGAUGGUGAUGGCUUUAGGCGUGUUCCCUCGGCAGUGAGGGGGGCUUCGAUGGCAAGUUUGCUGCGGUGAAGGCGGUGCGAGGCAUCUGAUCGGGACUGGCCGGGAUCUUGGAGACGUGGAGAUGUGUGGUGCUGCGGAUGAAAAUCUUGUUCGGUUGUGCCGGACCGGCGUUGAUGGCACCUACGGGUGUCAUUCACCUUCCUGGAGGCUUCGCCUAGUGCAACACCAUCUUCCUCGCGACCUCGUAUCGGCAGCUGUCUCCGGGGAGAAAGCCUUGAUUCGUAGGAUCGGCAUGAUGGCAACGUCCUUGAGGUUGUUACUCUGUUGGGAGCAUUGUGCUGGGAGACUCAAGGUCUCAUGAUGCGCUCCUUCGGCAUUCACCGCUGCCCGGAUCUUUCUCCUUCGGCGCCAUGUACGGUCGUUGCCGGCUUAUCCAAGGAAGCUGGAGUUGCUGUUCUUCGGAGGUCUUCAGCGUCGGCCGAGACGCGGCAAGGGGUUCGGUGUAGGGUAGGCUUUUAUAUCGUUGUUGUGUUGUCGUGUUGUUGUGUUGGGUUGUACUUGUACGAUCCGGAUGUGGAGUGGGUCGCCUUCGUUGUUCGCAACGAGUGGUUGACAUUGUUGUAUGUCUCAUUUCUCUUCUUCUAUAAAGCUAAGAUACGCAAUUUGCGUACCCUCGAAAAAAAAUAUAUAUAUGUGCAUACACUCAUAUCUAUGAACGCAAACACGCACACCCUACCCCUAUGAGCAUCUCCGAGAGACUGAGCCGGUAUAUCAUCUUGAGAUUUUACGAAGUCACCGUAGGCGCCUCGUAAUCGACAAGAAAGUCUCCUCCCGCGUAUCGUCGAAAAUCAUGAAAUAAAUCUAGAAUAAAUGCGAGCACCGGGACUAGAAAUCUGAUGAGCUGGGAUACCACUAUCCACCUAACCAUCCAACCACAUAUUUGUUCGCAAAUCAACUCCUUUUUAAUAAUAGAGAUUCAUGCAUUUGUCCCGCGGUGUGCACACCUACCCUUGACAAAUGAAAAAAAAACGUCUCAAGCUUUGCUCAGUUUACCCUGGAUUAACUUGUGGCCUGUAUAUAUUGAAAGGUACGAUUUUGAUGAUUGGAAUUUUGUAACUACACAUGAAUAUAUCAUAGAACUUUUUAACGGUUGAAGUUUAAACUUUUUUCACAUUUUGCUUUGUACUGAUCAGACUCGGGUCAUUAACAAGUCCCGCAACAAUUUAUGAAAAUAAAAUAAAGAAGAAGAUUUCUAGAACACCCCAAAUACUUCAGAGUUUUCCAACACAUGGUAUAAAUUUUCAUGAAAAUUUUCAUGCAUGCAUUGUGGUACAGUAUUAGGGCACUAGACUGUUUACUUAUUCGGAAUUUUUUUACCAUCGAAUGUGGGUAAAAAUAGAAUAAAUAAUUUUCAAUGGAAGGAAACGUUUUCGUGGAUAGUGAAUCAUCUAUGGUGACUUCCUUAAUAUCAAAGCUCCCAUCUCGAAGAAACCAUUCUUAACGUCUCGUGGAGAAAGGACCUGAGGCGACUGAAACCCUAGGCACCACCCCAUCUACUCCCUUUCUCACCGUCGCCACGGAGCGUCGCUGGGCAAAGCUCGUGUGGCGCUGGUGGAGGCGGGGAGGUCCUGAUCUGGGAAGUCCUGCUUGUGGAGGAGUUGAAGAGUUGCUACUGAUGGCGAAGCAGAUGUGUGCUCGAGUGGUGGUCUUCAUUAGACGAUCCUCGAUGGUGUUGUUGGUGAUCUAGCGUGGCAAUCUUGAACGGUGGCCCAACCUGGCUAGGUCACCAGAAAAGGAGUGGGUGCAUGGUCCUGGACGGCGGCAAGCUCCACAUUAGACACAAAUCUGUAGCGUUGUCUUCGGAAUUUAUAGAGACCCUUAUUUUGUAAACACAACUUCUUUUUGUAGAUUUGAAAAAUGUUUGCUACGAUGAACUUAUUUUCAAUAGAAACUAAACUUUUUAAAACUAUUUUUAACAUACAUUGAACAUUUUUUCUAUAUACAAUGAACUUAUUUAGUGAACACUGAACUUUUUUAGUAAGUGUUAAUCUUUUUUAUUCGAAUUGUACUUUUUUUAACACACGGCAAACCUUUUCUAUUAUAGGUUGGCAACUUUUUUUAUACAUACUGAAAAUAAAAUAAUGUACAGUAAACGUUUUCAGGAAAUGUUGAUAAAAACAAAAACAACAACAACAAAGCCUUUAGUCCCAAGCAAGUUGGGGUAGGCUAGAGGUGAAACCCAUAAGAUCUCGCAACCAACUCAUGGCUCUGGCACAUGGAUAGCAAGCUUCCACGCACCCAUGUCCAUAGCUAGCUCUUUGUCGAUACUCCAAUCCUUCAGGUCUCUCUUAAUGGACUCCUCCCAUGUCAAAAUUGGUCGACCCCGCCCUCUCUUGACAUUCUCCGCACGCUUUAGCCGUCCGCUAUGCACUAGAGCUUCUGGAGGCCUGCGCUGAAUAUGCCCAAACCAUCUCAAACGAUGUUGGACAAGCUUCUCCUCAAUUGGUGCAACCCCAACUCUAUCUCGUAUAUCAUCAUUCCGGACUCGAUCCUUCCUCGUGUGGUCACACAUCCAUCUCAACAUACGCAUCUCCGCCACACCUAACUGUUGAACAUGUCGCCUUUUAGUCGGCCAACACUCCGCGCCAUACAACAUUGCGGGUCGAACCGCCGUCCUGUAGAACUUGCCUUUUAGCUUUUGUGGCACUCUCUUGUCACAGAGAAUGCCAGAAGCUUGGCGCCACUUCAUCCAUCCGACUUUGAUUCGAUGGUUCACAUCUUCAUCAAUACCCCCAUCCUCCUGCAACAUUGACCCCAAAUACCGAAAGGUGUCCUUCCGAGGUACCACCUGGCCAUUAAGGCUAACCUCCUCCUCCUCACAGCUAGUAGUACUGAAACCGCACAUCAUGUACUCGGGAAAUGUUGAUCUGAAUUAAAAAAAAUCACGAAUGAGAAAAGUCCAUGAAUUCAAAAAACAAUUGAAAAAUAUUCAUGAUUUUUUAUGAAUUUGAAAAAGAAGGAACGAGAAGAAAAGGGAACGAAAAAGAAAGAACAAGAAGAGCUGAAGGAAAAUAGGAAGAAAAUUAAAUAGGAUUUAUUCGCAAAAAAAAGGAUUUAAAAAAGGAAAAUUAAAAAUUAAAACCAAAUCAAAAAUAAGAAAACUGGACGAGGAGAAGGAAAAGAAAGAAAAGAACCGUCGCGACGAAGGUGGCACGCACCGUCCGUUGGUUAUGUGCACCCAUGUCUCUGACCGUGUCCGGCGGUUUCGCUUUUGGAAGGCCCAAACGUGCUCAGCCGUCAGCUAUGACACCACGGCACAAGUAGCGACCCAUGGAUGGGCAGGUAGGCAUAUGCGGUUUUUGCUCUCGGUUUGUCGCUGCACACCAAGUGCUAGCCGGGCAGGCUUCUUCUGGCCAGGCGGCUUGUUGUCAUUCAUUGCUGCCUGCUGCUAGCCUCGCUGCCUACCCCGAUGGAAAUCGUCAAAUAUCUCUCCUAUUUGAAAGUAAGGUGUAUUAAUUUCAAGGGCAGACUCCGGAAACCCCUUUUGGAGCUCGGGCUCUAGUGAGGCCUCCAAAUUCAAAUUUAAAAUUUCAUUGAAAUUCGUAUUUUUACAUUUCAAAAAAUUAUGAAAAAAUUACAGAUAUACAUGAAGGCAUAAUACACAUGUGUGUAAAUUUUCAGUUCAAAAUACAUUGAAAUGAUGGCUGUGCAAAAAAAAAACAAAUCUGGAGUUGUUUAACACAUGAUACUAUUCAUCAUCCCAGGCCAUGGAUUUGUCUUUUUUGUACAUGUCACAACUCAAGAUAUUUCAUCAUGAAUUUUUACACACAUGUGAGUUACAUCCUUAACACGCAUAUUUUUUUCAGAAUUUUUUAAACUAUAAAAGUUUGUAUUUGAUUUUUUUUAAUAAAGGCCUCCAUGGAGCUCGGCCUCCAAAACGUCUUUCUCGGCAGACUCGGGUUGGAAUGGUGUCCAACAACUUCAACUGCAUAACACUCACAAAUUUUUAAUGUUUUUUCUAGUGCAUCAGAGUUUUGUUAUAUAAUUUGCAAGUACAAGGUAUACAUUUUUAGUGGUGAUGUUUUCUUCUCGGUGAAGUUGGUCUGACUUUCUAUUUGUAACUAGAUGAUGCCCCGCGCGUUGCUGCGGAAAUUUGUCUGUGGAUUUUUGGAGUAACAUCAACAUCUUGAAGAAGAAAAUAAUUUCAAUCCAUAAAAUGAUAGAUUACUUAUAUAGGAAAUGAUUGAAAUCUCUUGUUGGUAAAAAUUUGUACCAUAUGAUAAAGCCGUAGCAGUUUGUAGCAUGAACCAUAUAUCAUAUGGUAAAACUAUAGCAACUUGUAGCAUGUACUAUAUUCUUAAUCGAUAUAUAUGCUGAUGAUUGUAGGUUUACGUUCUUCAUCUAUUAUGACCUGGAUAUAUGGUAUCCCAUUCUUUUCAUACUCGACAAUGUAUCCGAUGGAUGAUAAUGGAUGGUCACCAGACAGUGGGUUAGCGAUGUGUAGAGGCUUGGACUCCCGUUUGAAAGUUAUAAAUGCCGGGUCUUCUGUGCCCUUCAUCUUUGCAAUUGCAUCCAUGUAUUUCUUCUGAGCUUCUCUUAUUGAAACGGCAGUAGAACUUGGCAUGUUACUUUUUGCAGAAUGAGGUGGCGUCCUUGAGAAGUAGGAGUAUGUUGUUAAUUAGGGUAAGAGUGGAAUGAAAAUAUAUAGCAAACUAAUUUCAAUAGGGGUACCUGUGGCUUCGGUUGUACUGGCUGCGAACCCGUGUUGAAAAGAUAAGUGGUAAGCUAUGAAAAUGCAACAGGAUGAUGUUAAUAUAGAUGGGUGUGUUGUAAUAGUAAGCUGUUUUGCUGCUUAUCAAGUGAGGAUAAAUAAAAUGCACUCUUACUUGCCGCUGACAGAUGAAGUUAAAUAAAAUGCAGACUUGCUUUGCUGUUACCUGCUCCUACAAACUAAACAGAUGGUGUACAUCCAUGAUUUUCUAUAGGAUACAGAGGAACAGUUUAAUACACAAACAAAAAAGAAAAUGAUGAUAAUUCCAGAAUAAUUAAGAAAGAUGUCCAAAUAAAUGGUACUACUAAAAUUCAUAAUCUCCUAGUGCUGCUUCAAGUUUGUGAUUUCAGUACACAAACUAAUAACAGAGCGGGAAGUAGGAUAAGUUUUAAUACACCAGGGAAACCAAGUUAAGUGGACUGAUUCCAUUGAAUAAUUAUUUUCUUUUCCCAUGCUAACCAACUUGGCAUCAGGCAGCCUAACACAUGUUUAUACUAAUAUUGUCACAUUUCACUGUUACCCUGCUGAAGGUGAUGUAUACGUCUUGCAAAAGGUAAAGAAGUUCUAUGAGCCAAGCGAGUUGAGCCCCAGUUUUUGCUUGCUAAAUCUGUGGUUGUAUCUCUUUUCCCUUCUUUACAUAUCUCUCAUUUUUUACCAGUUUACUUAUCUAACAUUCACAGUAAACUAUAUAUGCCAUAUGGAUAAGUUAGAGAUAAAGCUUGAAGCAAGGACACAUUUAGACUUGUCAAGUGUGUAUUAUUUCCAAGAUGUACAUACAGUCAUUCGGGCUAGCGGAACCUUCACAUGUAUAUUUUUUGUAUGUAGUUACAUAUGAUGAUAUGUCAAUAUGAACAUUUAUUCAUCUUUGUCUUAUGGAUGUAGUUCCGAAUGUUCGCUAGACAUGAAAAAGAGCUGCUAGCCUGCAGCUUGAAUGAAUUAACAUCCUUUAAUGGUUCUCAGGUAUGUGACUUGGCUCAACCAACAUACUACUUAUCUCUCUCUCUAUAUAUAUAGAGCACUCUGAUUGCAUAUGAGACAAAUAUUACAUAGCAAAAUUUAAAUCCAUUGCAAGAACCAAUGACAACUUGUCAUAGAAACAUACAGGAAAAAUCAACGAAACGAGACAAUGUGGUGGUAUAUCAAAACAUGUAAAAUUUAUGAGUAAUAUUUCAUUAUGUUUCUGUACAGCAUCAAAAUCGCAUCAAGCUUUGCGUCGGCCUUCGGUACAGCAGGCAGGUCACAUAAAACUUUGCAUCGACCAAGAUAUGAAAUUUUCAAGAUAAGAAUAGAAAAACCAAGCAAGAAAACUACAUGAUGCGGUUCUAGAAUUUAGAAACAAACCUGUAGCGCGCGGGGUCGGAAUCAGCGGACGCCAAGAGAAAACUGGGAUGAGAACCCAGGGAGGGGACGGGAAGGGAUGAACUCCACUGCUUAAAAGGAGAGCCACUGGGUCGAUUACCCUUCAAGAGGAGGGAGCAAUAAAUCCAUCAGUUCCUUUUUGACAUGAAUCCAUCCGUUUCUACUGAUUUAGUGCUGCGCAUUUGUGGCAUUGAGGUGGAAGGAUUGCGACAUAAAAGCAGCAGCAGGAAGAUGAACGAAUUUUAUGGAAUUAAUGUUCAUCUGUCGAGCAGCGGAAUUACGGCGGAAGGGUUAGCCUCGACAGCUUGGUGGGGGGCAAGCACGGAUGGUGACGGCUGCAAUAGAGCAUCAUGGGCGACAACAUCUGGCCAGGGAAGGGUGGGUUGUGGGCUCGUGGCACAGUCGCCGGAAGGGCUCUUGACGGCGGCGGCUGGAUAGAAGUAGGGUUCAGUUUUCUUGAGAUAACGAUGGAUUGGUCGUUUUUUUUGAGGGCACUGCCAUUUUUGACGCAGUGAACGAUGGACCUCAAGUAGGCUUCUGAUGGGCUUUUGGUGAAAGCAUAUGUGUACAGCCCAACCAAAAUAAAUCGAGUCUAACGCAGCCAGCGAGUGGGACGACUGGAAAGCGAGCGGGGCGCCAGGAAAAGAACAAAGCGGUAUCCUUCACUUAGCUGUGGCAGGUCUUUGUAAUUUCGUCAACUUUUUGAUCGGACGGCUGUAGACUACUGCAUCAACGGCUAUAACAAUUCGAGUGACGUGGCUUCACGAGAAGGCAGAAAAAUCAUCUAGUGGGGUGCCCCUAUUUAGAUAUAGAAGAUGGGGAAGGCCCUUAAUGACUUCCUAUUUGCGAUCAACAACGACAUGGUAGUAGAAGAGGACCUACCAUUAAGGCCGUGAAGGCUGUACCGAAUUGUUUUCAUAUGAUCUCGCUAAGCGGCGGCCGCGGCAUCAGCAUAUCUAGUUCCUUCUGGCUCCAAGGGCCAUCUCAUGGAUACUCCUCUCCAUUAGGUUAGGGUUCUUUCUCGCGGGGACGGUGUUUAGGCCGAUAACGGCUUCUCAUCUCCGAGCUGAUUUUCUGGGUUCCGAUUCCCUACAAGUCCGUCCAUUAGGACGAAGCUACAACGUAGAUUACAGUCGUUUUCUUGGGGCAACGAGGUUAUAGUUUUUCGCUUUGCGUUCGUGACUGUGAUAUAUGAUGCCAGGUGCUUCAGAUUGAUUCAACGGCUAAACGGUGAUGACUACAUGUCCAUGACGUUGGUCCUUCGGGGCAUAUGCUCGAAACCUUACACUCUUGUUGUCAGCGUUUGAGCAAAUGUCGGGUCUUAAAAUAAACUUCCAUAAAAGUGAACUUGUUUGCUUUGGAGAAGCCACUGAGGCGGCGGCCAAAUAUGCUGACCUGUUUGGUUGUGCACAUGGCCAAUUCCCGAUUAAAUAUUUGGGAAUACCGAUUCAUUAUCGGCGUCUCACCAUUGCGGAGUGGAAGCAUGUAGAGGAGCGUUUAGAGAAACGAUUGAGCAGUUGGAAAGGCAAAUUGCUCUCAGUUGGAGGAUGGCUGGUUUUGAUUAACUCUGUCCUCACAAAUAUGGUUCUCUAUAUGCUUUCUUUCUUCCAACUCCCAAAAGGGGUCCUGCAAAGACUGGACUAUUUUAGAUCCAGAUUCUUUUGGCAAGGAGAUGGUGAAAAGAAAAAAUAUAGACUGGCCAAAUGGAGUGUGGUUUGUAGGCCGAAAGACCAAGGUGGCCUUGGAAUUCAUGACUUGCAAAUCAAGAAUGAGGCCCUACUUAGUAAAUGGUUGUUCAAACUUCUUACUGAGGAUGGUGUUUGGCAAACCAUGCUGCGCAAUAAGUAUCUAGGCCAAAAGACAGUGUCUCAGGCAUAUUGGACACCUGGCGACUCGCACUUUUGGGCUGGCCUAAUGGCGGCAAAGAAACAUCUCUUUCGCUUUGGGUCUUUCGCGAUAAGGGACGGGUCAGAGGUUCGUUUCUGGGAAGACAUCUGGCUAGGCAAUGCCAGUCUUCGAGAACAAUAUCCAGCCCUAUAUAACAUUGCUCGCGAAAAGAAUAAUACUAUUGCGCAAGUGCUCAGUUCAUCCCCACCCAAUAUUUCGUUUAGGCGGGAUUUGAUUGGCCCCCGACUUAUGUCAUGGCACAAUCUUUUAUCCCGUUUGGAUUCGAUUAAUAUUAGACAAGGCCGGGAUGUGUUUCACUGGAACCUUACUACAUCAGGGUCAUUCACAGUAGACUCUAUGUACCGUGCACUCAUGCAUUCUGAGGUACCGGUGAGUAACAAUAAGAAAAUCUGGAAGUCGAAGAUUCCACUAAAAGUUAAAAUCUUCAUGUGGUAUCUUCGUAGGGGAGUUGUUCUAACCAAAGACAACCUCGCACGACGCAACUGGCUAGGGAGUAAGAAGUGUUGUUUUUGUACUCAUGAGGAGACAAUCAAACACCUCUUUUUCCAAUGCAAGUUUGCACGUACUACAUGGUCAAUCAUCCAAAUAGCGUCAAAUUUGUAUCCGCCCACAAGUGUCGCCAAUAUUUUUGGUCACUGGUUGGACGGUAUUCCAAAUAGAUUUAAAACGUUAAUACGGGUGGGAGCAUACGCCUUACUAUGGUCGCUUUGGCUAUGUAGAAAUGAUUUGAUUUUCAAUGAUAAAAAUGGUUCUCCUUUGCAGGUUAUUUUCCGUUGUACGCACUCGCUUCGUACGUGGUCUACACUACAACAAGUGGAGUACCAACCGUUGUUCAAGGCGGUGUGUACGCGGUUGGAGCAGGUGGCUACGGUGGUUUUUACCCAACAUGGGUGGCAGCAUAAUCUCCGGAUCGGUCCACCAUCCCUUGCGACAUAGGCAUAGUGUCGGUCUAUAGGACUCUACUGUCGCCGAUUUGUCGUUUUUUUUCAUUCAUUUUGUCAGACUCUCCGUGUUGGGCUGUGUGCAUCCUAGUUAUGCAGAGGCCGGGUGUUACUCAUAAUGUUUUGUAUCCGCUUGAUGCUACAUUUCGAGAUAAUAAAAGCGCCCUUUAUCGAAAAAAUAUGCUCGAACGGAUACUAUUCGGUUAUGAAUGACGAGGUCAGGCCCGGCUCCUGCUCAAACUGAGGUUAGGGGCUUCCGAGCAUCUACAGUCGGGCACCCCAAACCAGCCUCAAACACCCGCACGGAUGACAAUGUCACAAAAAUUCGACCCACAGACGCCUCAAACGGGCCUUCGCCCGUGCUAACCGGCACUCCUCAUAUCGAGCCCAAAUAUGGGGCGCAUAUAGGGGCACCAUAUUUUUAUUCUAGAGCAUCCAAUUUUUUUAAUAUAUUCACAAGCACCAGGUAUACAUUUCCAGCGGUGAUGUUUUCUUCUCCGCGAUGUUGGUCUGAUAGUACCGUGGCCUUGAUGACUUUCCAUUUGUGACUAACAACGACAGGGUGGGCAGACGAGGAUGUAACAUUAAGGCCAUGAAGGCACAACAAAUUUUCCUUCACUAAAUGUGCAAGGCCUGGNNNNNNNNNNNNNNNNNNNNNNNNNNNNNNNNNNNNNNNNNNNNNNNNNNNNNNNNNNNNNNNNNNNNNNNNNNNNNNNNNNNNNNNNNNNNNNNNNNNNNNNNNNNNNNNNNNNNNNNNNNNNNNNNNNNNNNNNNNNNNNNNNNNNNNNNNNNNNNNNNNNNNNNNNNNNNNNNNNNNNNNNNNNNNNNNNNNNNNNNNNNNNNNNNNNNNNNNNNNNNNNNNNNNNNNNNNNNNNNNNNNNNNNNNNNNNNNNNNNNNNNNNNNNNNNNNNNNNNNNNNNNNNNNNNNNNAGAGGGGGGCAGCGGCUCCCUCGGCACUACACAUAGCUUCGCCACUGCAUGAAGGGCGUACCGAAUUGUUUUCCUAUGCUCUUGCUAAGCAGCGGUAGUGACAUCAACGGAUCUAGUUCCUUUUGGUUUCGCCGACCAGCUCAUGGAUACUCCUCUCCUCUGUCGGCUGCCUCGAUGGCCGGUGGCGGGAAUGCGAACCUCAGUGAUUUGGCUUCAGCCAGUAGUUUUGUUUAGUUUAGUUUUCUUUUUACUGGCAAGGACAACGUUCAGGCGGAUGAGGAUUUCUCAUCUUGGAGCUAUUUUUUGGGGUUCCGAUUUUCCACAAGUUCAUCCAUCAGGAUGAAGUUGAUGAAGCUUUACCGUAUAUUACCGCGUGGUUAGGCGCUCGUGACAGUGAUAUGUGCUGUUAGGAGCUUCAGGUCGAUUCAAGGGUUGAACAACGACGACUACAAUUCUAGGGCGUUGGUUUUUAGGGACACAUGCAUGAAGACUUUUUUCGUUUGUGAAGUGAAGCCGGCUCCAGCACAAAGGCGGCUACCGCGAUGUACCGCCGUCUUGUUCUCGCCGUGAUACUGGUCGUUCGGUGGUUCAUGAUACUCGAUGCAUUUUUUAUUAUAUUAUCAUUAUUUGGUAUAGAAGGUGCUUUAUAUUUUCUGGUGAACUUUAAAACAAGACAAGACGACGCCAACCAAACCUGGUUGGGAGGAUGGACAUGAUGGUUUUUUAUUCACCAGGGCGCUUGAACAUGCACCCAUUUUCGAAAUCUUUUGGCGUUCGAAACUAAAGCGGGCAAGAAAAGCAAGAGCAGAAAAGGCAAGGCGCUGGACGCGGGGGGUGGGGGUGGGGGUGGGCCCCCCUGAUAGAGAGAGACCAUAUAUGGACGCCUGUCGACCCGCGAUAACGAUAUUCCCGAGAGAGAAAGAAUCCAGCCCCCACCCGCCGCCGCGCCGCUGAUAGCGAGCGUGACAGAGCCCUCCCCCAUUAAAACCCCCCGCCCGCCGCCGCGUCCACCGCCACCGCCAGACCACGCAGCCCGCAAUCGCCGACCGAGGCACCGCCGGUGGUCGGAGAAGCGCUACGAACGCCGAGGACGCCCGGCAUGGAGGACAGAGCGCCGCUGCUGCCCCGGCGCCAAGAGGCGGCGUCGGCGGCCAAGAGCGGCGGGUGGUGUUGCGGGUCGGCGGCGGCGGCGGAGGCCAGGAAGGUCGCGCACGUGGCGCUGCCGAUGGCGGCCGUGAGCGUGGCGCAGUACGCCGUGCAGGUGGCCUCCAACAUGAUGGUCGGACACCUCCCCGGGGGCGUGCUGGCGCUCUCCGCCUCCGCCAUCGCCACCUCCCUCGCCUCCGUCUCCGGAUUCAGCCUCCUCGUACGUCCCCCCUCAGCCCCCCCUCUCUCUCUCUCUCUAACACACGCGCUUGAUUCCGGCUUAAACUGAUCGCCGCAUUGCCCUGUCGCAACCGUGAUUUGCCGGCGUAAUAAUCAACAAGUGAUUCGCUGUUGCCAUUGCACGAUCUGGCCAGAAGCAAUUGGUACGAGUCGUCCCUAGAUUCAGUUUGGGGGUUUGCGGUGCGGUGCGGUGCUCAUUCAGUGUAUGAGCCUGGGUGGUCAAUCUCGAGUUGAACACAAACACCUCGCUCUUGCUGCAAAGUGUAAAGUGGCCUCACUAGCAACGAAAUCGUUCUCUCUUUUUCUCUGUAGGCUGUAGCCAAGUACAGUGUUCUUUCCUUUCUACUACUCCCUCUGUAAACUAAUAUAAGAGCGUUUAGAUCACUAAAGUAGUGAUCUAAAUGCUCUUAUAUUAGUUUACGGAGGGAGUACCUUAUAAUAGUAAUAUGUCAUAACAAACUUGUGUGCGUCCUGCCGCUGAACAUAGGUAGCUACUGGUAACAUCAGAGUAUUAGUACCAGUUUUACCACAUGGCGCGAUCAAUUAAAUUAUGCAAAGCUCACAUAUGUUUUUUUUUUGAAAAGGGGGUUUACCCCAGCCUCUGCGUCAGAAAGAUGCAUACGGUUCAUAUUAUUAAAAGGAAAUCCAGCAACAAAGUCUCCAAGUAUCGAGGUGCGAAGCUCACAUAUGUUCAGUCUGCUUAAACUGUUUGGUGAAAGAGGUGUGCUGGAAACCGGAAAAGUGCAAGUUUAAGCCGUAGUUAAGUCUCUCAGGCAUAUUUCUAUAGUGUCAUUUGAAAGGAAUCAAUCGGUAGGGGUUUAGUGUUUUGUGUCUGUUUCAAUAACCGGGAUAUCGCUCCACUGAAGGAUUGAUGCAGGAAUGGAACUACCCAUGUUCCGUCAAACUUUCAAGUCAACUUUGUUACUUGGCGUGGUCAUACUUCAAGAACACUUUGUUAUUUCGAUGCAACAAUCUUAAAGUGGUCGUGGGCUGUUACUCUACAUCUUUGUUUAAUAUUCUGAACAGUUUAAAUACAACUGUUUUCUUUAAAAUUGCACAUAUUUGACCCCAGUAAUCUGAGUACUCUACUUUGCAUGACAGAUUGGAAUGGCUAGCGGUUUAGAAACUCUGUGUACGAGUCCAAUGUAGAGUAGGUUUAGUUUGGGGGUUUGUGGUGCCGCGUGCUCAUUCAGUGUAUGGGCCUAGGUGGCCAAUCUCGAGUUGAACACCAACACCUUACUGUAAAGUGUAAAGUGACCUCACUAGCCGCAAAUUAUUCUCUCUCUUUUUUUCUAGGCAAUUACUGCAUUCUUUCCUUUAUAUACCUUAUUAAAAGGUAUGUAUCAAUAACAAACUUGUGUGCGUUCUGCCGCUGAACAUUGGCUGUUUAUUACCACGCCAUGGUGCGAUCGGUGAAAUUUUCAAACCUCACAUAUUGCCCACUGAAGCAGAGUACCAACUAAAGAAAAGUCAUAUUGACAUUACAAGGAGUAGCCCUCAUUAAAAAGGAAUUAGGAGGGGUUUAGUCUUUCCUUGUUUUUUCCAACUAACUGUGACAAAGCUCCACCGAAUGGUUAAUGCAGGGAAUGGCACUAACUAUGUUGUUCCAUCAAACUUUCAAGAGUAGCUUUGUUAUCUGGCGUGUUCAAAGUUCAAGUACACUUUGUUAUUUUGAUGCAGCAGUCUUACCAUGUGUGGGCUUAGGGGCUUAAGAUUAUACGCUAUUACUGCCAAUCCUUGUUUAAUAUUCUGAACUGUGUUAACAAAACUGUUUUCUUUGAGUUGCACAUUUUUUACACCAGUAAUCUGAAUACUCUGCUUUGUAUAACAGAUUGGAAUGUCAAACGGCUUAGAAACUCUCUGUGGUCAAGCUUACGGGGCCGAACAAUAUGGCAGAUUGGGAGUGCAAACCUACAGAGCUAUGGUCACCCUGACGGCUGUCAGCAUUCCAAUCUCACUUCUCUGGGUAUUCAUGGGAAAACUCCUCACCCUCAUAGGCCAGGACCCCGUGAUCUCGCAUGAAGCCGGAAGAUACAUAAUGUGGUUGAUUCCGGCCCUCUUUGCAUACGCUGUCAGCCAGCCCCUAACAAAGUUCUUACAGUCUCAGAGUCUGAUAAUCCCUAUGCUUUGGUCCUCCAUUGCAACAUUGCUCUUGCACAUUCCUGUUUGCUGGUUAUUGGUGUUCAAGACCAGCCUUGGGUACAUUGGGGCCGCUUUGGCGAUAAGCGUAUCGUAUUGGUUGAACGUGUUCAUGCUUGUUGCGUACAUCGGAUGCUCAAACUCUUGUAAGGAGACAUUCUCGCCUCCCACACUCGAUGCUUUCAGCGGAGUGGGUGUGUUCAUGCGCCUAGCUCUGCCGUCUGCACUAAUGUUAUGGUAAGCACAUCAGUGUGAUUCAGAGUGGCCACGUGCCACGUUACUUUUCACCAUUGAGCUAACGAGUUUCCGUGUGAAUCUUCCAGUUUUGAAUGGUGGUCAUUUGAGGUCAUUAUUCUUCUGUCUGGACUUCUACCCAAUCCAGAGCUGCAAACUUCAGUUCUGUCUACAUGGUAAGAAUUUCCCAUGUUAGGUAAAUAAGCACUGAUGGUAAUAUUUGCAUCAUAUUCACGCACGUCUUUUUGUGCAGCAUGACAACAAUCACAUUGAUGUAUACUAUAGCAUAUGGGAUUGGUGCUGCUGGAAGGUACAAAUAGAAGCUUAACAUACUUCUAGAUAUUACUUGUUUUUUGGAUGGAAUUAUCAUUUGAUGACGGCAUUCUGUAUUUUUAUUCAAUGGGCAGCACUCGUGUAUCAAAUGAAUUAGGUGCUGGGAAUCCUGAAGGUGCUCGACUGGCUGUCCGCGUUGUGAUGUCUAUUGCUGUGACUGAGGCAGUUCUCAUCACUGGGGCACUGUUAGCAUCCCAGCACAUCUUGGGCUAUGCAUACAGCAGUGAUAAAGAGGUUGUUGAUUAUGUCAAUGCAAUGGUUCCCUUCAUCUGCAUCUCAGUUGCUGCUGAUAGCCUACAAGGAGUUCUCUCAGGUUAAAUUUUCUAACUAAUAAUUGAUCUGUCAAUUUUACUGUCCCUUCAAAAGAGAGUGAUGUUAUAAUGAUUUCGGCAGCCAUAAGCUAUACUUGUUUCCAGCCAUGACACCAUACUGUGAUAUAUAUCUCCGCCCUGUAGUUUGAUUUCUAUAAUUCAGUACGUAGCUUUUAUCCAGUUUGGUAAUAAGCCUUGCUAGGUAGCUAGUGAAACUAUUAUUUGUGAGUCAUGCUGAUUUCGCAAAGACAUUACCAGGAGGUGCCACUUAUUAGAUUUGUUAAUAUUUCGCUAUACUAAUGCUAUUUUGUGUUGUGGAAGCCGACAUUGUUACUUGGGCUGCUACUUGUUUGUUCUUUCAAACAUGUGCUCUUAUGUGAACAUGGAUGGCGGUGUUUACAUCCACACACAUCUGGCUGGGAUGAUGUAAUCUUAAGUGGGCGCCACCUCACUAAGUAUGCAAUCGCCUGCACCUUUCUUCUAGCUAGUGGAACUGUUGUUUCCUUCACAGGGUCUGUUUCACUAUAUGUGCAAAUUCAUGCUUGUCGACAGUUCUGGACAGGCCAAAAUUAUGAACUAUACUUGCUCAAACAUAUGCUCUUGCCUGGCAUUUCCAACAUAAGCUUAAUUUAGACACUCGCAAGAUCCUCAUGUACAAUGACAUCAUAUCACUAAACUCCAAUAGAGAAGAUUCUGCUCUUCCUGUCCUUUCUACAUAGUUUUAGCACCAGAUGCAUUCAUGUCUACUGCUAACACACAUUGUGCGUUAAUCAUUCAGGUAUCGCUCGAGGGUGCGGGUCGCAGCACCUGGGCGCCUAUGUUAACCUCGGUUCGUUCUAUCUGUUUGGGAUUCCGAUGUCCCUCCUACUCGGGUUUGUUCUGAAGAUGGGAGGAAAGGGGCUCUGGAUGGGCAUUUCCUGCGGCUCCAUAGUGCAAUUCCUACUUCUGUCCGGCAUAGUGUUCUUCAGCAACUGGCAAAAGAUGGUUUGCUCCUUCAUCUCAAACCUUGCAGUUUCUUCAUGCCAGUGUUGAUCCUACACGAAAGAGAAAACCUGAUUUAUGUGGAGCUGCUUAAUGUUUUUGCAGUCUGACAAUGCGAGGGAGAGGGUUUUCGGCGGAACCCCGGCGGAGAAGGAGCCUUUGAUGUCUGAUGUAACGGGCGCUGCCUAAUUUUCUCGCGAGUUGCUCAAUCCCUUGACCCGAACUUGAAGCGGACGACACGGCAGCUUAAUCUUGUCGCUGUAGAUGACAGUCUCAGAGAUGUGUGUGUAUAGAGAGGCGAGUUUGCUGAAGAACCAUAGUUGCCGUAGUUGACAGUCGCCGUAGUUGUAAUGUUGCAAUUUUGCUGAGGUCGGAAAAGAAUGAUACAUACAGUAGCAGAAAUUCAAUGGGUGGAAGUAACACGGGCGUAGUUUCGGUAGCCAUCUUCUGGUAAGAUGUUGCUAACGGAUCCUAAAGCAGAGUACCGACUUUUUUUUUAUAAAAAUAAAUAAAAGUGAUGACUUUGCCAUAGACAUCCUUAGGAUAUGUCUUUUUUUUAGGUUCCGAAUUUAAUUCAGAAUUGAGUAUGGACGGCUGUGUUUAUCUUACCGCAAGGUUCUGUUUGCAGAUUCGGGAUUUAUGACUUGCAAAUUACUUCCUCCAUAAAGAAAUAUAAGAGCAUUUAGAUCGCUACUUAGUGAUUUAAACACUUUCUUGGGUAGAUGCAUGAGAGAGCAUUAUUCGUCUGCCGACCUUGCUCACUCUCCUGAAAACAUGAGAAUGUUUGCGCCUGCAUAGCUCCGUAGCUCCUCCCAUUCUCUGUUUUACCCGACUUGUGUUACAAUGGCACAAGUGUGGAGCUUGGCCACUUUUGAUGAACCGCACCGUGCGUCGCUCCUAGGGGACAGAGAUCAGGUGACAUGCACGUUUGCAUGUCACCAUGUGCCUUGCGGCCGAAAUUCAAAUUUAGACAUUGCGAAAAAAUUUGAAAAAAAUCAUGCAUGUUCACAGCACAUAUUAAGAUAACCUCUGAAAAAUUCAGAUCAAAAUUCGAAACAUACAUCAAGAAACAAAAAAGAGAAGUCUGUCAUGAAUAGUUCGUGAAUGGUUCUAUGUAGACUAUUCACAUCUGAGUUUCUCUUUUUUGUUUCUCGAUGUAUAUUUCGAAUUUUGAUCUGAAUUUUUUAGAAGUUAUCUUAAUAUGUGCUGUGAACAUGCAUGAUUUUUUUUCAGAUUUCUUCGCAAUGUUUAAAUUUGAAUUUCCACCGCAAGACACACGGUGACAUGCAAACGUGCAUGUCACCUAAUCUCUGUCCGCUCCUAGGGGCGGGCAGCAUUAACCAAGCCGCUGCUAGGCUUCCUUAACUCUCUCCUCUUCCCAUCGCCGCUGUCGGAGGAUCCCGUUGGGCAAAGCCCUCACCAACGAACGUCGGUAGCGGAGCUUCUCUGGCCCGUGACGAGGCAGUGGCUUGAGGGGCACGGUCGGUAGUGCUCGGGCCGUUGCCAUGGCACGGGGGUUGUGCUAUGUGGAUUUGGGCGCGGGACAACUGUUGCGGUGAGGUAUUGCGUGGGGCUAGCGUCAUGGCCAAUGCGGCUGCUCGGGGAGGCACAUGUGGAUGGGCCGGGAGCUCACGUUGAGUCGUUGAUGGUGCGGCGGCGAGCCUCAGAGCACAGCAGCUUGAGCAUGUGGCAUGGGCAUCUCUCCGGUGCUCUUCGUUCUUUGGUGGGCCCUCGAGAUGGGUUAGUGAGCUUAGUAACUCGGUGUGACAUGCAUGCGACUCCGAGCGAAUGUUCCGCGCUCCGGCAUCGACACCGCUUGCGGGUGUCACUUCCCUCUUGGCGGCGUCGUUGUGGUCCUCCUCUCCAUGCCAGGACUUGGAGGUGAAAACUCUAGGAUGUCGUUUCGGUCUCGAUGGCAACGGUGCGUUGCAUCGUAACCCAUCGCCUGGUGAAGUUUCUUCUACCCUGGAUAAGACAAUACAGUAACGAGCGUCCAGAAGCGCCCGCCACAACUAAAUUCAAGUGGCGGGCAACAAUAAAGACCCACCACUCAAACUUUUGGUUAUUUCAAACUUUUUUGGCAACGAGAUAUUUGUUUCUUUUUGAGUUCUUUUGGCACUAAUUUGAGCCCAUCUAUAAUCCAUUUCGCAGUAGUGUAAUUCACUAGGAUAUUGAGGCUUUUUUCUCGUGGUCAACAUGUUUUCUGUGUCGCAAGCUUUGGACUUUUAAUCGAUCAACUUCCCACAUGUUCAGAACAUGUUUCUAUUAAACGAUGAACAUCUCACUUUGUUAAUUUUACUAGCUCGGUUGCUCGUAGCAGAUUGGUUUAGUUUGUUUCUUUAGGAGGGGCUAAGCUCAUCACCCUUUUUGAGGUAAAUACACAAUGAGUGCCUAAAUUUGCCAUGCGUGGUCACUUUGAUGGCUGCAGUUGUAACAUACAUGAAACUAGUGCUCGAACUUGUUAGGCCGUGCAAUUACGACGCUUCCUCCCGUAUCUGGACAUAACAGUCACUUUAGUGCCUAAAGUUACAGAAUACAUGAAAUUGAUGCUCAAACUUGUCUGAUCGUGUAAAUACGAUGCUUCCCCCUUAUUCGGGAGUACACCCUACCCGCCCCUGCACCUGAUGAUCUUUUUUUGCAAGCCCACCUUCCCCGGCCCCUCCCCUCCACCUCACAUUUUAUUUGAUUACGUAAAAAACCUCAAAUAUAGACAGGGACUGGUGCAUGUCAGUAUUUUAUUUAACAUGUAAUUAGGCCUGCUGACCAUAUCCCAAGCGGCUAGGCGAAGGAUUACCUUUGUGCAUCACAUUUCUUUUUGCACAUAGGCUAUGCUUCUUCAUUUGUCAAAGUCGGCAUUCGGCAAUAUUGAUGGUCAAUGCAAUAAUCGUCAUCACCUUUUUUUGAUGGGUCUUUCAAUCAGAUGACAUGGAUCAAGCUGAACCGCAUGGACCUUUGGAGCCCCAUCUUUCAUUCUCAACAAAGAUAUAAAGAAUAGUGUAGUCACUUCAGGGCACAUGGUGACAUGCAUGUAGCUUUCUAUAAGACAUGCAUGAAGUUUGGAGCAGGGCUAAUCGGCAAUGCAUGGCACCCUAUGUGCAUGUUGGGGCUCGCAAAAUGGACAAGUUGUCCGCGAUCUACGCGAUCUAAUAUACCCCCUUCAUCCCAUAAUAUAAGAGCGUCUUACUAAUGUACAUAUGUCAGGUAAUUUUUUGGUUUGAAUUGUGUUUCACAGAAAAGUAAAACUACGCCUCUAACUGUACACUACUACCGCACAUGGAAUGGAUUGGCCUAUCUUUUUUUUUUAGAAAGACUGGGCUAUGGGUGGGUGGUAGCUGGCAAUGGCAUCAGUAGUGAACAAGGCAGGCGGGAACUAAAACGAGCUAGCUAGCCUUUUACGCGUUGCCCGGGUGCAACACCCCCGUGCUUUCCUUUCCUGUGCCCCUGCAACGUCGCUGCCAUGAGACGACAUCACAUGCCGCCGCACCGGACUCUAGACCGGAAACUGCUCGACACGUCGUGGGUGUUGGGAAGUCCGUCUCAUCGCAGGCUGGCCACUGCGUUGCUUGACUCGAUCGGUAAAUGGGAGGAGCACGCCAAGACUCUAGCUAGACGAGAAACAAGAAUUACUUACUGUGCAACUCAGGCUGGCUGCGCCUGGUCGACACGUCGUGGGUGCUUGCGCCGGCCCAAGCGAGCGUCUCACCAAGGUUCCAAGAAGCACGCCAAGGUUCCAAGAAGCACACCAAGAUUCAAAGAAGCGUUACUCGGUAUAAAUGGGAGGGGCACACCAAGGUUCCAAGAAGCACACCAAGCUUGGAAGCAAACAAUAAGCUGCAGGAAGCGCCGACCAGUUGACGGACGGUGAGUGAGUCCCAUCUUCGUCUUGGGCUUCUUCUUCCUCUGCCUUGCGCAUCUUUCUUGCUGAUAUCUUCCGGUCAGGCUUCGAUCCAUGGAUGCCGAGAUGCCUCUUCUGCAGCUUGUGACCCAGGCCAAGAAGCCGAUGGCCGCUCCUCCGCUCCAGGAUGCUACCCGGCUGGCCAGCGCUUGGGCGCUUGUCAAUGCAAGCAUCAUCAUCGUCUCCUACGCCUUGAGCUCCGCCAUCGUCCCUGCACUCUGCCAGGUAAUAAUUAACUGUGUUGGCGCCGCUCCUCUCGCAGCGCCGACCUUCUUCUUCUACCUCGAGCUGCCUCGCACAACUCUCCUGAGGUUUCUCUCUUCUUCUCUCAAGAACACACGCACACAUGGUUGGAAACUCACACGCACACACACUAGCCAAAGAAAAGAACAAAAGCUUCGCUGAGACUCUCUCCUUUGGCAGCCACAAGUGCUACAUUUUCUCUCUUCUCAUUUAUUCAACCAAACGGGAUUACACUGCUUAAAUAGACUCACACACGUACUGCCCAGCAGCCACUCUCGGCCACUAACAUCACAUACCGACUAAUCUCUAACAAACUGACCCACUCACGCCACUUCACAUGCACCCAUCUAAUCUUAUCUUGACCACUUCUUCCUCCUAGAAUCACUCUAGGCACACGACCCUCACGCAGCUAACAAACUAACUGACUCUCUCAGCUCGGCUAGACAAGAUUAAUCCUAACAUUCACCUCCCUAAUCUUGUCAUGUCAACUCCUCUAAUCUUGAUGCAGAUCACCUGCAACCUUUUGCCAUGAACUUUGCCUUCGCAGCACCGAGACCACACAGGACAUCUUGCUGUGGAUGACGCCGUCACAGCGCCUCUCACCCCACCAUGGAUCUCCACUUGCACCGUCAAUGCACCUGGUCACGUACGUCUUGCCGCCACCAUCGCAGCGACUCAUCUUGGGUAUGGCAUCACACACCGAGGAUAACUUCAUGACGACGAUGGCAUCACACUACCGUCGACUAGCUUUGCGUUGAUCCUCAUGACGACCUCGCGCCGCCGUACAUCUUCUCAGCAGCAUCUCACUGUCGUCUUCUUGGAACGGCAUCUCACCGUCGUCUUCUCGUGGCAGCAUCACACUGUCGUUGCUAGCGCCCGACGGCAUCGCGCCGCCGCCGCACCGAGCGGCAUCGCACCGUCUCCUUCUUGUGGCGGCAUCACACCACCGCCUCCUCCUCGCGGCAUCGCACCGCAGUCUCCUUGUCGCCGCAGCAUCACGCUGUGGCCUCCUCUUGAUGUGGACGACGCCUUUGCGGCGCCGAUCACCACGCCGUCUUGCCACACGCAGCGACCACCUCUUGACGUGCACGACACCUUCUCGAUGCCGAUCAUCACGCCGGCUGAAUCUAGCGGCAUCACACCGCAACUGGCCACCAGCAGCACCACGCCGCUGAUGACCUCCACCUCGCGCCGUCAACCUCCGCAUCACAUGGAGUCCACCGCGCCGCCACGCAGGAGCUCCGCAGCCUCCAUGCCGCCGUGCAGCGCCGCCACGCUCGCCGCGGUGCCGUGCACCUCCAUAGGCCGACACAUGGCCCGGAACUUCAUCGCGCGCCGCUGACGGACGCCGCCACCGUCGGCACGCCUCCGGCCGGCAGGAGCAACGACGCCCCAAGACAACCAAGCUCUGAUACCAAUUGUUGGCGCCGCUCCUCUCGCAGCGCCGACCUUCUUCUUCUACCUCGAGCUGCCUCGCACAACUCUCCUGAGGUUUCUCUCUUCUUCUCUCAAGAACACACGCACACAUGGUUGGAAACUCACACGCACACACACUAGCCAAAGAAAAGAACAAAAGCUUCGCUGAGACUCUCUCCUUUGGCAGCCACAAGUGCUACAUUUUCUCUCUUCUCAUUUAUUCAACCAAACGGGAUUACACUGCUUAAAUAGACUCACACACGUACUGCCCAGCAGCCACUCUCGGCCACUAACAUCACAUACCGACUAAUCUCUAACAAACUGACCCACUCACGCCACUUCACAUGCACCCAUCUAAUCUUAUCUUGACCACUUCUUCCUCCUAGAAUCACUCUAGGCACACGACCCUCACGCAGCUAACAAACUAACUGACUCUCUCAGCUCGGCUAGACAAGAUUAAUCCUAAC